GAAAGACGCAGAGACAGAUCUGGGCUCUCCUGGAGAUUCCGCAGCAGGACUUCCCUUCGGACACCGGGCUGAAUCUGUGGUUGGCCAUGGGGUCCAAGGCGGGUCCCCCGGACGAAGCUGGAGAAGAGACAAAGCAAGUGGGCACAUAAGCCAAGAGCCUCCAUGGGGACCUCGCUCCUCAACGCCCAAGACACUCCAGUCCUGGGAGCCCUCUCUCCGUCCCCAGCAGCACAAGCUCUUGCCUGACGCUGGGCCUUCACAGAUGCUCUGUCCUUCCCACCCUCACCCUGCUUCCUACUGAUCUCCUUCAAUGAGCUUCCUCAGGAAGCCUUUCUGACCCCAUGUGGCUCUCAAACUGAGUUAGGUCUCCCAGUUGUACACUCUCCUAGCAGAACGACAUGGGUGAGUGGAUCUCCUGGGGCAAUACAGAGCCCAAAGGCUCUGGUCUGGACCGCCCAGCCCAGGAACACAUCCUCUGAGAAUUUCUUCAAGAUGUCUUCUUCAACUAGAUCAGGCAUUUGCUCAGAGCUAGGUCUACAGGAAUUAGAGUUUAUUCUGUCAGUAUCUUGAGACUCAAGUUGGCAUCUGCAAGUGCUGGUUGAUCAAAUCAAUGCAUGAAUUAUGGACCAGAGUCUUAUUUCUGGCACCCAGUGUUCCAUUUCCAAACUGCAUUCAUAAGGUUGUUCUCACAAUCCCAGAUCUACACGGAGUAAUAUGGUUAUUGGAUGAGAAAUGCUGGUUUUGCCUGUGGAUUCAUUUCCCUGAUCUCUGACCUUGCUGUGUUCCCUGCCUUCCUCCACCCACUUCUCCUGGGUGUGGACUUUCUUUUGUAGUGAAUAUUGUCCAAGAUCUAAAAUCAGUUACUGCCACCUGUUCUUUGUUGAACUGAACCUUCAGUGGUAUCAUAACAUUUAAGACCUGCUAAAAACAACCCCCUUUAAAAUGGUAUUUGUUUUCAAAAAUAAAUGAGAUAAGUACACAUGGAAUAAAAGUCAAACAAAACAAA